rnacentral:rRNA from 1 species
AUGUCAUGGCGUGAAAACGGCACAGACUGCUGCGAGUGGGAAGGCAUCGCCUGCAAUGAAGACAGAGCUGUCACUGAAGUCUCCCUGGCAUCUAGAGGACUUGAAGGGUGCAUCUCGCCGUCCCUUGCCGACCUCACCAGCGUGCUACAUAUCAACCUCUCGUACAACUCCUUCUCUGGUGACCUUUUGCCAGAGAUCAUGUCCUCCGGAAGCAUCAUCGUCCUCGAUGUCAGCUUCAACCGGCUCAACGGAUCGCUGCACGAGCUGCCGUCUUUGGUUACCACCGACCGGCCUCUGCAGGUACUCAACAUCUCAAGCAACCAGUUCAACUCAGAAUUUCCAUCAGCCACAUGGAAGGUCAUGAAAAAUCUGAUUGCGCUCAACGCCAGCAAUAACAGCUUCACUGGGAACAUACCGUCUUCUCUCUGCCUUGGCUCACCAUAUUUGGCAUUGCUUGACCUCUGUUACAACCAAUUGAGUGGUGAGAUACCAAACGCGCUGGGUAACUGUUCCAAGCUCAAAGUGCUCAAGGCUGGCAACAACAACCUAAGUGGGAAUCUCCCUGUUGAAACCUUCCACGCUACCUUGCUGCAGUACCUUUCCUUCCCCAACAAUGGUUUACAAGGAGAACUUGAAGGAGCACAUAUAGUCAAACUCGGUAAUCUAGCUACUCUUGACCUUGGAGGGAACCACUUCAGUGGCAAGAUUCCGCAGUCGAUAGGUCUGCUCAAGAGGCUGGAGGAGCUCUAUUUGGGUAGCAAUAACAUGUCUGGGGAGCUGCCAUCAGCUCUUGGCAACUGUACAAAUCUCAAAAUCAUUGAUCUGAAGAUCAACAACUUCAGUGGAGAUCUAGGGAAGGUAAACUUCGCCGCCCUACAUAAUCUAAAAAGUUUAGAUCUCUUGAGGAAUAAUCUCAAUGGUAUAGUUCCAGAAAGCAUUUACUCAUGCAGUAAUUUGACUGCACUGCGGCUGUCCAGCAACCAUUUCCAUGGUGAAAUCUCAUCAAGAAUUGGCAAUCUGAAGCACCUGUCCUUCCUAUCACUUAGUAGAAACUGCUUUACAAAUAUAACAAAAGCCUUGCAUGCCCUUAAGAGCAGCAGGAAUAUCAGCACCCUGCUUCUUGGCAGAAACUUCAUGAAUGAGGCCAUGCCACAAGAUGAGUUCAUUGACGGUUUUCAGAAUCUUCAACUUCUUACCAUGGACUGGUGUUCGUUGACUGGAAGGAUACCUAUUUGGUUGUCCAAGCUCACAAAUCUGAAGAUACUACUAUUAGUCAGUAAUCGACUCACUGGACCAAUGCCAAGCUGGAUGAACUCCCUAAAUAACCUCUUCAUUCUGGACGUAUCAAACAACAGCCUUACUGGGGAAAUCCCAAUCGCGUUGAUGGAGACGCCAAUGCUAAAAUCAGACAAGGCUGGCAUCUAUUUGGACCCAAACCUCCUUGGUCUACCAAUUUUUUAUGUUGACCCGUCACUUCAAUACCGCAUGGGCAGUGCUUGGCCCAAAGGACUGAAACUCGGUAAGAAUAAACUCACUGGCGCAAUCCCCCAAGAGAUUGGUCAUUUGAAAACAGCGCAUUACCUGGACUUGAGUUUCAACAACUUUUAUGGAGCGAUCCCACAAUCGAUCUGUAACCUGACAAAUCUGCAGGGGCUAGAUUUGUCUAAUAACCAUCUCACCGGUGCAAUCCCUGCCGCACUGGGGAAACUUCACUUCCUUUCACAAUUCAACAUUUCUAACAACGACCUAGAAGGACCUAUUCCAACAACAGGCCAGCUGAGCACGUUUCAGACUUCUAGUUUUGAUGGGAACCCAAAGCUGUGUGGCUCUCUGCUUAUUAGGGAUUGCAGUUCAGUCGAAGAAGCUCCCAUGUACAUCUCUGCAAAAGAAUACAGCAUGAAGGUCAUAUUUGCGAUUGCCUUUGGUCCUUUCUUUGUGGUAGGGGUGCUAUAUGACCAGUUAGUACUAUUUAGAUAUUUUGGUUAA